rnacentral:rRNA from 1 species
UACGAAGGGGGCUAGCGUUGCUCGGAAUCACUGGGCGUAAAGCGCACGUAGGCGGCUUUCUAAGUCAGGGGGUGAAAUCCUGGAGCUCAACUCCAGAACUGCCUUUGAUACUGGGAGCUCGAGUCCGGAAGAGGUGAGUGGAACUGCGAGUGUAGAGGUGAAAUUCGUAGAUAUUCGCAAGAACACCAGUGGCGAAGGCGGACUCGCUGGUCCGGUACUGGACGCUGAGGU